CAUAGAAAAUGUAUUAAGUCUUCACAUUGAUUUUCAGGGAGGACUUCUGAAAGAAGAAGGGGAAAGAUACAGAAAGAGAGGCAUAGUUGCUGGAGAGAAGAAUGUAAUCCCCUGAAUAGACAACUUUGUGUGCCAUACGGAUAUUGUCCCAGAUGAAGAAAAGUUCUAUUGUCUCCUUAAUGGCUUUCUAUUUGUAUGUUGUAAUGAAGUACCAGAACAUUGCCAUGACCAUGAAAGGUCUGAUACGUCUCUGACAAUGGCCAGCUCAAGAUACUUCAGUGAAAUUUAAAAUAGCUCUGAGAUAUGGGCAUGCAAGAGGAUGAAACACAUCUGCAUGUGACAUGUCAGGGAAGUAUGCUGGGGUGUGACAUCUGUGUCUGACCAUAGGAUUAGUGUGCAUUUGGCCACAUGAAAAAUCCUACAUAUUUAUCAGCUUGAGCCCUGAACUUGCAUUUAACAGUAUUCCAAAGUUACAAUGUCACAGAUACUACUGUGUAUGUGUCGUGUAUUUGGCGUGAAAGAAAUCUGCUCUGUGAUAAAUUUUUGAUUGUAAUUUUAUUUAUUGGUUAAAUUUGUUGAGAUCAACAUGAAAAUUUUUAAUAAAUAAUAGGGCAAAAAUUGCAUUUUCAGUCCUUCAUUGUUAAUAGAGCCUAUGUUCUGGAAGCUAAGGUAGUUUGUAGAAGUACAGAGCUCCUAUAAACUUUCACUGAGCUCCAAAAGAAUUCAGAAAUAAAUUAGUUCUGGAAGAUAUGAAAGGAGAUAGUGAUGAAUUAUUCAGACUAUAUCCUAGAAAAGUUUGGGGAAUUUUGAAUUUGCAGAGUGCCUGGAGAUCACCAUUCUCAGUGAAAACUCGAGUGGAAGUGACAGAUACAUUAUAGAAACUGGUAAUUCAACUGGAUAGGGUUUCUUUCUUUGUACUCUCUAAUACUGUGAUCAUUGCUGGGAAAAUAUAUGUACAUAGAAUGUUCUAGUAAUAGUAAAGAGCAAACUAAAUGUUUUGCAAAUGAACUGAAUUGUUAGCGAAGAACAAUAUUUAUUACAAAGCUGAGACCUCUGAUUUUGAAGAACGUGAGAGAACUUAAAUAACAAGAGAAUAUGAACAGUAUACACAUUGUAAAUAGUGGUGUACUCUAUACAAAUGCAGACGCAUGUUACUGCAUUAUUGGUGAUUAGUAAUUUAGUGACAGUAAUCAUUCAAAUGCAUAUUUUAUACUAGGUAAUUCUGAAUUAAGCUAGAAGUGCGAACUUCCCCUGGUUGGCAGCCACGGGAGUUUUCUUUUCCUCUUUUGCUGGAACACACAAGACAGCAAUUUUUACCUCUGGUUAAUAUCCUUUCUUAAUCUUUCAGAGGGACUGUCUGCCUCAAAUUAAGACCAGAGCGAUUCAAGGUUAAAAGAAUGUGUAUAAUAGAGAUGUGACAUGUUACAUACAUUCCUUAGCAGUAUAAGACUCGAUUAAGAGUAUGGUUUGGCAGACAAUGCAGAAAAGGGCUGUGAAGGCAUUCACUUCUAAUCAAUUACCAAGAGCUUCAUCAAAGUGCAAAGGUUAUUUUAAUUCUAAGUACAGUGUGAAAAAUGUGAAGAGGCAAGUUUUUUGAGGGUAUUUUUUUUCCCCCUGGACAGGAGAACCUGAUAUAACAUACAGAAGAGAUAAAAGUAGAAAUGCAAUUUAAGACAUGACUUGGUGAAAAACACCGGAUAUAUUACAUGAUCUUCCCCCCGCCAAAAAUUUCCAAGUACUGAGAAAAAAAAACAACAACAACAAAAAAAAAAACGGUUUGAUAAAAAAUAUGGCUUUUGGAAGCCAAAACCUAUUAAUUUUUAAAUAAAACUGAUUAUUUUUUCUUAUUGAACAACUUCUAAUAUAUAUAAAAAAAAUCAAAGAAGAAGAUAUCUAUAAAGAUAAAACAAUAGCUUUCACUGAAGAAUGUCUUGUCAAAAGACAUAUAGAUCUGGCUCAUGAAAAGUGUUACAGCACUUUGUUCCACUACCUUAUUCUUUUGUGAGGUAAUCCUUAAAUCUUCCCUAACCUUUAGAAAUAACAGCAGCUUUAAAGCAUUAGUGUGCUUGCUGAGAGUCAGAAAGACAUGGUGAUGCCACCGCUCCUUCCCCUGGCUGUUCUGUUUAAGCUGACAGAACCUCAGCUAACUUCAGGACUGGUACUCUGGCUCAAUGCCAUCUGUACAUUCCCCUAUAGAUUCUCCUGAAGUUGGCUUCAAUAGCUCUCAGUAAUAAUACUGUAGUACACCAUAGUUCCAGUAGAGGUUCACAGCAUUUUUGUGCGAGAUGGCAUCCAAAAGGGUUUUGAAUAUCUCCAGAGAAGGAGACCCCACAACCUCUCUGGGCAACAAAUAACUUUUGUUGUUUAUUCUUCACCUGCUCACCCAACUUUAAAGCAGAAUGGUCUAAAAGCACAGAUCUGGAGUGGAAUCAACUCACUCAACUUAGUUAUCCAGAAGUUAUGAAUCAGUUAUGAACAAUUGUUCUGAAGUCCAUCUGCCAUCACUGAAGAGUGGUUAUUGUGUACCAGGGGAAACUUAUAUCAAGCUAGAGUAGACAUCUAGAAUAAAUGAAACAAGAGACUAAAUGAGACAACUAAAAUUUUAGACAGAUGAAAUGAUUCCAAUUUUUGCUAUAGUAACAAUUGCAGAAAAAUAUGGUUGUUCUGUCUGAGGCAAGCUAUUAAUUUGCUGUACCAUAGCCCAGCUAAUUUAUUUUUAUUUUAUUUUUAUUUUUAUUUUUAUUUUUAUUUUUAUUUUUAUUUAUUUUAUUUUUUUGCAUUAAAAGCCACAGUAUACCACUGGAAGCAUGGUAAUCCAUGCUAUCCCGAUGUAUGAGGCUGGAGAUCAGGGUGAAUGUGACAGUCUGUAAUAGCUGUUUAAAUGUAAGACAGUUUAAAAUUGUCUUGAAGUCAAAGUGAAAAUAGAGAUACAGAACGGUAUCUUCAAAGAAAUGCAAAGGCUACUUUUCUUAAGCUAUACCGGACAUGAUUUAGGGUUGAUUCUGUGCAAUGCUUGAUUCUCAGUAACUUUUUCAUCUCAAACUUCACAUCUGAAUGAAGGAUGCCCAAACUACAAAUCUUAUCUGAAGCACAAGUUCUGGCAGUUGCCAUAGUACUAAUAUAAUUAAUAUAAAUAAAUUUUAUGAUUUGUGGGCAAGCAGAAGACCACACUGUUUGAGCAGGUUAGUCUUAUCUUAAAUCUGCACUUCUGUUAUAUAGCCACUGGUUGGAAAGGAUCCUUGUGUACCACAACAAGGUACUACACACAUAUAUAUAUAUACAUAAAAAAAUAAAAAUAAUAAAAAAAAAACACCUUGUGAUUCUUAAUUUCAUGUUUCUAAAAUGGAAUAUUCUCUUAGUUAGGUGUUGCAAACAUAAAUUCAUGUUUAUGAGACACAGAGAUAUAUUAUCACUAGUUUUGCAUGAGGAAUUAGACAUGAAACAACAGGUUGACUUCCUAAGAAAAUAACCUGAAGUGAGAACUUCAAAGUCCCCAGACUAUUUGAUUAUUCUAGUGUGCAUGCAAAGAAACAAGUGUUCCUAGCAUAACAUGACUGUACUGGAAAAUAACUAUAAGAUUUCUACUCAGUAUAUGAGUUUAAAUAGUCAUAAGAAUGAUGUUACUUUAAUCAUAUAGAAAUUAGAACACAAUUUUUGCUCUUUUUUUUUCUUCAAAACAUUUAUACCUGCUAUAAUUUAGAGUUUUUUUUCUUCUAUGCGUAAACUGCUUUUUCCUUCUGCUAAGAAUUUCAUCAGAGCAUCACCAGAAAAGGAUCCAUCCCACUGCUCCCAGGCAGGAUAGGACGCAUGAAACACAAUGCAGGGAAAAUACAUUGAAGUAAACGAAUGCUGGAUCUCAACUUGCCACGGAGAAUGACUACUGUUCACACUCGAACUGCAAGCAAUUAAAUUCUUCCCACAGGUCACUUAGACACAGCCAUAGGGACCAGUUUCCAUGGGUUAUAUGCACCUUUGAAGAGACAUUUAUAUACCAUAAAUUGUACAGGUGAUUUGAAGAGCAGUGAUUUGCAGCUUCCUCCCAUGUAGGCUUAGCCUGUAUUAUUAACUACUUAUACAAUAAGCAUGCAUCACAAGGUAAUGGGCUUAAGGCUGACACAAGGCUUUCAAUAACCUUGGCAAAACAGAGACUUGCAAGCUGUACAUACACAUUCCUCAGCAAGAACUCAAUAUUCCAGUUUCCAAUAAAGUACCUCUUGUGGUUAAUAGUUCCAACAGACUAUUUUAGACCAUGCUGUGCUCCGUAACAUGUGAAGCAAUUCUUUGCUGAAAUCACUGCUGCUUAAAUGUUUUGCCAACUUACUGAAAUCUGGCUCCCCGUACUUGUAGUUUGAACCACUCAGUCCAGUUCUUUCUAGAAUCAAAGCCAGCCACCACAUCUCCUGUCCCAGUUGAGCCUCUUUUCUAGUGCACAGGCAACAAACUGUUACAAUAUCUUCUCUAGCUUAUUCUUCUUAAGGACACUAUACCAAACGAGAGUCAUCCAACAUCAAUCCAUCUUCUUUUCCUUAGUUUGAAGUGCUGACAGCCCUCUGCGAUGAAAUGUGUCAUCAAUUGCCCCCAGUCCUUUUUCUUGGAAAUAACAGGUCUCUUCCCCAGUGAAAAAAGUGCGUCUACACAGUCUUCUGGUAGUGGUUUUCCCUAGAAGUGUAAAAUGAGGGAGGGACAGGGAAGGUCCCAGAGAAAACUUCAAAGAGUGUUUUGUUAUUUAUUGUAAGGGUAAAUAAUCAUUCAGAUUUUCUCUGCUUUUCUUUCUGAAGAAACUUGCACUAUUUUUCUUCAAAAGACUAGAUCAGUAU